AGAGUUUGAUCCUGGCUCAGGACGAACGCUGGCGGCACGCUUAACACAUGCAAGUCGAACGAGAGAAGAGGAGCUUGCUUUUCUGAUCUAGUGGCGGACGGGUGAGUAACACGUGAGCAAUCUGCCUUUCAGAGGGGGGAUACCGAUUGGAAACGAUCGUUAAUACCGCAUAACAUAAUUGAACCGCAUGAUUUGAUUAUCAAAGAUUUAUCGCUGAAAGAUGAGCUCGCGUCUGAUUAGCUAGUUGGUAAGGUAACGGCUUACCAAGGCGACGAUCAGUAGCCGGACUGAGAGGUUGAUCGGCCACAUUGGGACUGAGACACGGCCCAGACUCCUACGGGAGGCAGCAGUGGGGAAUAUUGCACAAUGGAGGAAACUCUGAUGCAGCGAUGCCGCGUGAGGGAAGAAGGUUUUAGGAUUGUAAACCUCUGUCUUCAGGGACGAAAAAAGACGGUACCUGAGGAGGAAGCUCCGGCUAACUACGUGCCAGCAGCCGCGGUAAUACGUAGGGAGCGAGCGUUGUCCGGAAUUACUGGGUGUAAAGGGAGCGUAGGCGGGAUCGCAAGUCAGAUGUGAAAACUAUGGGCUUAACCCAUAAACUGCAUUUGAAACUGUGGUUCUUGAGUGAAGUAGAGGUAAGCGGAAUUCCUAGUGUAGCGGUGAAAUGCGUAGAUAUUAGGAGGAACAUCAGUGGCGAAGGCGGCUUACUGGGCUUUAACUGACGCUGAGGCUCGAAAGCGUGGGGAGCAAACAGGAUUAGAUACCCUGGUAGUCCACGCCGUAAACGAUGAUUACUAGGUGUGGGGGGACUGACCCCUUCCGUGCCGCAGCAAACGCAAUAAGUAAUCCACCUGGGGAGUACGACCGCAAGGUUGAAACUCAAAGGAAUUGACGGGGGCCCGCACAAGCAGUGGAGUAUGUGGAUUAAUUCGAAGCAACGCGAAGAACCUUACCAGGUCUUGACAUCGUAUGCAUAGCUCAGAGAUGAGUGAAAUCUCUUCGGAGACAUAUAGACAGGCGGUGCAUGGUUGUCGUCAGCUCGUGUCGUGAGAUGUUGGGUUAAGUCCCGCAACGAGCGCAACCCUUACUGUUAGUUGCUACGCAAGAGCACUCUAGCAGGACUGCCGUUGACAAAACGGAGGAAGGUGGGGAUGACGUCAAAUCAUCAUGCCCCUUAUGACCUGGUCCUCACACGUACUACAAUGGCUGUCAACAGAGGGAAGCAAAGCCGCGAGGUGGAGCGAACCCCUAAAAGCAGUCUUAGUUCGGAUUGUAGGCUGCAACCCGCCUACAUGAAGUCGGAAUUGCUAGUAAUCGCAGAUCAGCAUGCUGCGGUGAAUACGUUCCCGGGCCUUGUACACACCGCCCGUCACGCCAUGGGAGUCGGUAACACCCGAAGCCUGUAGUCUAACCGCAAGGAGGACGCAGUCGAAGGUGGGAUUGAUGACUGGGGUGAAGUCGUAACAAGGUA
rnacentral:rRNA from 1 species